AACGCACAUUGCGCCCGCCAGUAUUCUGGCGGGCAUGCCUGUUCGAGCGUCAUUUCAACCAUCAAGCCCACGGCUUGUGUUGGGGACCUGCGGCUGCCCGCAGGCCCUGAAAACCAGUGGCGGGCUCGCUGUCACCCCGAGCGUAGUAGCAUACAUCUCGCUCCGGGCGUGCUGCGGGCGCCGGCCGUUAAACCCCCCACAAACCCAAAGGUUGACCUCGGAUCAGGUAGGAAGACCCGCUGAACUUAA
rnacentral:misc_RNA from 1 species